rnacentral:misc_RNA from 1 species
GAUGAAGAACGUAGCGAAAUGCGAUAAGUAGUGUGAAUUGCAGAAUUCAGUGAAUCAUCGAAUCUUUGAACGCACAUUGCGCCCCUUGGUACUCCAUGGGGCAUGCCUGUUCGAGCGUCAUUUACACCCUCAAGCUCAGCUUGGUGUUGGGCGUCUGUCCCGCUUCGUGCGCGGACUCGCCUCAAAUGCAUUGGCAGCGGUCUUGCCAGCUUCUCGCGCAGCACAUUGCGCUUCUAGAGGCUUUGGCGGAUCGGCGUCCAUCAAGUACACCCACAGUUUGACCUCAGAUCAGGUAGGGAUACCCGCUGAACUUAAGCAUAUCAAUAAGCGGAGGA